rnacentral:misc_RNA from 1 species
GAUGAAGAACGUAGCGAAAUGCGAUACGUAAUGUGAAUUGCAGAAUUCAGUGAAUCAUCGAAUCUUUGAACGCACAUUGCGCCCGCUGGUAUUCCGGCGUGCAUGCCUGUUCGAGCGUCAUUUCAACCCUCAAGCCCCCGGGUUUGGUGUUGGGGAUCGGCUCUGCCCUUCUGGGCGGUGCCGCCCCCGAAAUACAUUGGCGGUCUCGCUGCAGCCUCCAUUGCGUAGUAGCUAACACCUCGCAACUGGAACGCGGCGCGGCCAUGCCGUAAAACCCCAACUUCUGAAUGUUGACCUCGGAUCAGGUAGGAAUACCCGCUGAACUUAAGCAUAUCAAUAAGCGGAGGA